CCUACGGGAGGCAGCAGUAGGGAAUCUUCGUCAAUGGGCGCAAGCCUGAACGAGCAAUGCCGCGUGAACGAGGAAGGUCUUCGGAUCGUAAAGUUCUGUUGAAGGGGAAAAAGAGCGGAGAGAGGAAAUGAACUCCGAUUGAUAUUACCCUUCGAGGAAGUCCCGGCUAACUACGUGCCAGCAGCCGCGGUAAUACGUAGGUGGCGAGCGUUAUCCGGAAUGAUUGGGCGUAAAGGGUGCGUAGGCGGCCUGCUAAGUCUGGAGUGAAAGGUACGGGCUCAACCGGUACAGGCUUUGGAAACUGGCGGGCUAGAGAGCAGGAGAGGGCGGUGGAACUCCAUGUGUAGCGGUAAAAUGCGUAGAUAUAUGGAAGAACACCAGUGGCGAAGGCGGCCGCCUGGCCUGUUACUGACGCUGAGGCACGAAAGCGUGGGGAGCAAAUAGGAUUAGAUACCCCUGUAAUC
rnacentral:rRNA from 1 species